UACGUAGGGUGCAGGCGUUAAUCGGAAUUACUGGGCGUAAAGGGCGCGUAGGCGGCCAGCACAAGUCAGUUGUGAAAUCUCCGAGCUUAACUCGGAAAGGUCAACUGAUACUGUGCGGCUAGAGUGCGGAGGGGCAACUGGAAUUCUCGGUGUAGCGGUGAAAUGCGUAGAUAUCGAGAGGAACACCUGCGGCGAAGGCGGGUAGCUGGGCA
rnacentral:rRNA from 1 species